UACAGAGACUGCAAGCGUUAUUCGGAUUCACUGGGCGUAAAGGGCGCGUAGGCGGGAUGGCAAGUCAGUCGUGAAAUCUCUCGGCUCAACCGAGAAACGUCGGCUGAUACUGCCGUUCUUGAGGGAUGCAGAGGAGACUGGAAUUCCCGGUGUAGCGGUGAAAUGUGUAGAGAUCGGGAGGAACACCGGUGGCGAAGGCGGGUCUCUGGGCAUUUCCUGACGCUGAGGCGCGAAAGCGUGGGGAGCAAACGGG
rnacentral:rRNA from 1 species